CGGUCUGCAUCCCUUUAACAACUAUCUGCCUUUCUCAGCCCAGAUGACACCCUCCAGCUUGCCCUGAGAACCUUCUUUGCAAAUUAUCAACAACAGUGGAAAUAUCUGCCUGUUGAUUAGGAUCAUGCCAGUCUGAAUAUUCAGUGCAGAGGAUAACACCAGGAACACGGUUUGAAUUGUUUUUCCUAAAGAGAGGGCAAAACUGCAUAAGCUUAGGCCCCAACAAAACCACAUCCACCCUGGACUGAGAGAGUCCCCCAUCACAGACAUCAGUGAAAAGCUACUAAAAGGUGACCUUCAGUAAGCAGGAAAUUGAAUUCAGAAAAAAGAGGUGGGAUUCAAGGGGCAAUGAAACAAGGCACAGGCCAAGAUCCUGACUUCUCUCUGCCUUGGCUUCCGAACCUCUUCCCUUCAGUCUUAAUGGAUAGCUGCCUGCUUACAGCCUGCUGCUCAUGGUCGACCAGCAACCCUGGUUGACAGUGACAUCUGUGAACAUCAGCAAUUAUUGGACACUCAGAUGAAAUUAAAAAAGAAAUGUCUAGA